rnacentral:lncRNA from 1 species
AUGGAAGCAGGGCUCAGAAGUCAAGAUGAAUUUGGGUCAUUUAUUUACUGAACAUAGGUUUUUAAUACCACUGUCCAAUAUUAUGGAUACAAUAAUAAUACUUGAGGUGAAAUGGAAGGAACCUAUUAAUGACUGUUUACCUCAGGCUACAAGGGUAAUGCUUGAAACUCCUUGAGAUUUGAUCCUGGGAAAUAAAUGUAGGGGCAUUCAUCUCAGUGGGGUGUGGGGACACUAGAAGAAGGGAUGAGUUGGUAUUUGGAAGAUCCAAGUUGAAAUCUCAGACUUUUGGCUGCCAAUAACUGACAUCGAGCAACAAACUUUCCACACCUCCUGUUUCCUGGGAACUCAGUUUGCUUAUUGGAAAGAUAAGGGAAAUAAUGCAGCACCAUGGUUAGGAAUGUGGGCUCAGAUGCAGGGUGCCUGGGUUCAAAUCCCAGUUCCAGAACAUUCUAAUUGUGUGUCUCUAGGCACAUGAAUUGAGCUUUCUGUGUGUUAUCUGUAAAAAUGUGGAUAAAACAGUACUUAGCACAUAGGAUCAUUGUGAAGGGUUAGCUGAGUUAGAACAUGUACCAUCUUAGAAUAAUGACUUGUCCAUGGUAAGGACUCCAUAACCAGUCCUUGGUGUUACUCUUACCAUUUAAUGCAAAGAAAGUUUCUUUCAGUUUAUGAUAUUCCAUUUAGCAUUGCAUGGUGCUCUCCCCUCCCCCUCUUUUUCUUCCUAAGACCUGAAAUAAAGCUAAAAAGGUGAUGUGCUACAGUCACCAGCUGGGAGAUCGAGCACCUUGAGUCAUUUCACAUGUAUCACUUCACUUUAAAUGAGAAGUUCAUGUGCCUUGAUUGACAUUUACCCGACAAAGAGAACAUCUCUCAAAAAGUGCAUGGUUUCAUGGCAUGUUUUAAAAGAAUGGAGGUGCAGGAAAGGUGGCAGGGGUGUUUUUUUUUUUAUAAGGAUGAUAUUAAGAUUUAUCUGUUUAAAAGGAAAUAAAACCCUAGAAUUCCCUCAUAGUCAGAGUACUGACAAUUUUCACUUAAGACAGUCUCCACAGUAAUUGUUUCCCUUCUAGUAAAGAAGGAGGGAAGAAAAGAGGAAGGAAGGAAGAGAAGGAACUAAAAAAGAAGGGAAGGAAGAGAGGAAGGAGGGUGGUGGGGAGGAGAAAGAAAGGGAUGGAGGGAACAAAGUAUUAAGUGUUUUACAAUGCACCAGCUGCUUUACAUGAAGUUUUUAAAUAAAUUUAAAAAAAAUGCAAGGAUGGGUAGCACCAUUUUUAAUAUAUGAGAACACUAAUAGUUAAAAAUGGUGCAUUUAUUUGCACAAGGUCACCCCACCAGUAAGAAGAUGUUGAGUCAAAUUUGAACUUGAGUCUACGGUCUUUCACUGCCAACCCAUUGUUCUUGGAUGUGUCAACAAAAGGAUUCACAAAAUGUAUGAAGGAAAAGGGUCAAUAAAGAUGACAAAGGCUCUAUCCAAGAGGCUUAGAACAAUGAAAGGAAAAUAAGUCCUAGGCCAGAAUGGUGUUCAGAGAAGGAAAAUAAAAAUGUCUUUCUUAUUUUCUUAUGCCUUCCCAAGUACCACCCCUUCCAACUCCCUGACCUUCAGCACACUUAUGCCUCUCUUACAGCACAUCAGUUUCCACUAUCCCUGUACUAGGGAAUCACCAAAAUGUAUUAAGUCAAAUGACACAGUUUGAUACCGCUAUGGGCAUGAGCAUCCUGGACACUGACUUCCUACCAUGGACAGAGCUCAUUUCAUCAUACCUUGCUGUUAACUGGUGAAAGGCCAGAAGCCCUCCUCAUAGGAGAACCUUCCUCCCUCAGUCAAUAUUGAGGAACUGUGGCAUAGAGAGUAUGGGAAAAAAAUCAAUUUAGUUUAUCAAUCAAAGUAACCUAGAGCAACAUGGAGGAGUAGGAGGGAAGAACAGUGUGAUGAAUUUUAUUUUCAUGUUUCAUCAAAUUUGCUGGCUGAAUGGUUAGCAUUCACUUCUCCUGCCCUCUUGCUUAGACCACAGAAUAUGAAGACAAGCGCAGCGAUCUCCCAGGAGCCUCCAAAAGCAACUAAUUCCCUCCCUAUAUCCUCUACCUCUUCCCCUUUUUCUCACUGUAUUACUAAUUUUAAUAACCCUUCCUAGCAGAUGUUGACACUGCAGAAGUUGCAUGUUUAUUAGAACUUAAAUGGUUUGAAUUAAAAAAGAGCAUUUAACUGGUUACAUAUUUCUCCCUGGAAAUGAUACCUUGACCAAAGCAGUAGAAAAAUCACUCCUCAUUGAACAUCACCAUAGAAGGUCACCACCACAUCAUGGUCUAAUUUGUCUGCUCAGGCUGCCAUAACAAAUACCAUAGACUAGGUGGCUGAAACAACAGAAAUGCAUUUCCUCGUAAUUCUGGAGAAUGGCAAGACCAAGAUCAAUGUUCUGGCAGGGUUUGUUUUCUGGUUAGAGAUCUCUUCCUAGCCUGUAAACAGCCACUUUUUGCUGUAUGUUCAGAU